AUUCCAGCUCUAAUAGCGUAUAUUAAUGUUGUUGCAGUUAAAAAGCUCGUAGUUGGAUUUUGGAGUUUGACAAGUGGUCUGCCUAAGGUGUGUACUGCUUGUCGGCUCUUCUUUUCUGGGGACCACGCUGCUCUUUAUUGAGGGGUGCUGGGAAUCAGAUCUUUUACUUUGAAAAAAUUAGAGUGUUCAAAGCAGGCCCACGCAUUGAAUACAUUAGCAUGGAAUAAUGGAAUAGGACUUUGGUCUUAUUUUGUUGGUUUCUAAGGCCGAGGUAAUGAUUAAUAGGGAUAGUUGGGGGCGUUUAUAUUCCAUUGUCAGAGGUGAAAUUCUUGGAUUUAUGGAUGAUAAACUACUGCGAAAGCAUUCGCCAAGGAUGUUUUCAUUA
rnacentral:rRNA from 1 species